AGCUGCAAGAUGUCAUUCCACCUGAAAUAGGUGAACUAAAGCAGUUAACACAUCUCUACCUAAUUUUUAAUAAUUUCAAAGGGGAAAUACCGAAGGAGCUUGCUAAUCUUCCUGAACUUCGUUAUCUUCAUCUACAUGAAAAUCAUUUUACUCAUAUGGAACCUGUGUCGGACUGGAUGUCACCGUGAUCUCAUUCAAUUCCAGGGAUGUUGGUAACAAUUGUUAGUUUGAAACUAUAAGAGAACUCAUACAUAUUGAAGGAUGCUUUCCGCUUCCCCGCAACCUAUACUUGAAUAAUAAUUAUCUUACUGGAGGUGUUCCAGCACAACUUGCAAAUUUGACAAACUUAGAGAUCUUAUAUCUAUCCUACAAUAGGAUGACAGGAGUUAUACCAUAUAUCAUUGCUUAUAUUCCUAAGUUAACUUAUUUCCAAGAGAUGCGGCUAGUGGACCCAUUUCGUCCAUGGAUGCAAGGAGAUCACGUGAUGAUCAUAAUUGUAAUGACAUUCUUUGAUUUCGUUGUAUUUGUCUUGGAUAUUCAAUUAUGAUGAUGUAAUUGUAUGGUUGGAGUGAAUCUUAGAAUAUUGAAGGUUUUGUGUUUAAGUUUGA